rnacentral:lncRNA from 1 species
UCCAGGACAAUGCAGUGGCACAUGCCUGGAGUCCCAGCUACUCAGGAGGCUGAGGCACGAGGAUCGCUUGAGCCCAAGAGUCCUGGGCUGUAGCACACUGUGCCAGAGACGUGUCUGCACCAAGUUCAGCCAUCAGUAUGAUGACCUCCCAGAAGUAGGGGACCACCAGGUUGCCUAAGGAGGGGUGAAUUGGCCCAGGUUGGAAACGAACAGGUUAAAACUUCCCCUGCUGAUCAGUAGUGGGAUUACGCCUGUGAAUAGCCACUGCACUCCAGCCUGGGCAACAUAGCGAGACCUUGUCU